rnacentral:rRNA from 1 species
CACGUAGGUGGUAGUGUAAGUCUGGGGUGGAAUCCCAGGGCUUAACCCUGGAACUGCCUUGGAAACUGUAUUACUUGAGUCAGUGAGGGGAGGGUAGAAUUCCUGGUGUAGCGGUGAAAUGCGUAGAUAUCAGGAGGAAGGCCCGUGGCGAAGGCGGCCCUCUGGCGCUGGACUGACACUGAGGCGCGAAAGCGUGGGGAGCAAACAGGAUUAGAUACCCUGGUAGUCCACGCCCUAAACGGUGGGCACUAGGUGUAGGGCUCGUAAGGGUUCUGUGCCGAAGGGAAACCAUUAAGUGCCCCGCCUGGGGAGUACGGCCGCAAGGUUGAA